rnacentral:rRNA from 1 species
GCUUAUGGCCAUACCAGCCUGGCUAUGCCCGAUCUUGUCUGAUCUCGUAAAGCUAAGCAGGUUUGGGCCUGGUUAGUGCCUGGAUGGAGACCGCCUGGGAAUACCAGGUGCUUUAAGCU